rnacentral:rRNA from 1 species
UACGGAGGGUGCAAGCGUUGUCCGGAAUCACUGGGCGUAAAGGGCGCGUAGGCGGCUCGGUAAGUCGGGUGUGAAAUCUCGGGGCUUAACUCCGAAACUGCAUUCGAUACUGCCGUGCUUGAGGACUGGAGAGGAGACUGGAAUUUACGGUGUAGCGGUGAAAUGCGUAGAUAUCGUAAGGAAGACCAGUGGCGAAGGCGGGUCUCUGGACAGUUCCUGACGCUGAGGCACGAAGGUCAGGGGAGCAAACGGG